CUGUCAAAUACUGGAUAAGAUUAAUCCAUUAGAGGGAAUUUUCCUCGGAUCUUGUGGAGACCAAUUGCGAAUCUGAGUUUGUUAAGAGCAAAUCGAUUUUGUCUGUAGUGAGUGAGAGUUUUUUCUAUGUUUUUGUGGUCCUAUGGUUAUUCCAUAAUGGUGACCAAUAUGGAGGCGCAAGUUAAAAGUUCUGCUUGUGGGUUCUUCUACUUGAUAUUCUUCUGAUUUCCCUUCUGGUGUACCUGGUGUAGCAGCUGUUGUAACCAUGGUUUUUUUUGUUAAGCCCAACAUAAUCAAAAGGUGAGAUCUGUAGUUCUUAUGACAUUGUAUGUAUGCCUAAUUUUUACUAUAUUCUGAAUGUUUGUAUGCUAAAACCUUAUUUUUAUAACAAAUAAACAACGGGCAUCCUCCUCCAUGAUGAUAAUCCUAGGUGCCUUAACCAGUCAAAUAGGUUUUUCUCCUAUAAUCCACCUUUGUCUCCUCUCGAACGUCAGCUUGCCCACAAGUAUGAAUAUCGACUUUUUUAGGGUUCACACUUUGCCCUUUCCUCACUGUUCACAUUGUCUUGUAAUUUGAAACCAAAGUUUGCUGGAUGAAUUAUCUGAGUAGCGAGGGAACCGUGAACCGGUGAAAUAAUUCAUAUCAGGAUCAAAUUUGACAGAAAUUUGUAAAUAUGAUGAAAAGUAGCAACAACAACAUCAUCAUCGCCUAGGAAAGCUUUUCGUUCAGGAUGAUCGUUGUAGAGUGGUAAGGGAAGGAGGCAAAAACGAGAAGCACACAACAAAAUACUAAAAAAUGAGUCAUUUUUUUCUUGACUCAAACCAUGGGAUAUGUAGUAUUAUGUAUUGAACUCCAAGCUCUUACAGAUAUUCGUAAUGAGAUGUAAUGAUUAGUUAAUGUUUAUGUGUUAAAUGAGGAAAUUUUAAUGGAUUUUAUUGUAAUAUGUUUGUGAAUACUUAAAAUUUCAAAUCAAAGUUGGUGACACUCUUA